rnacentral:rRNA from 1 species
CAAGUCGAACGCGAAAGUUCCCUUCGGGGAGCGAGUAGAGUGGCGCACGGGUGAGUAACACGUAGGUAAUCUACCUUUGGAUUGGGAAUAACAACCGGAAACGGUUGCUAAUACCGAAUAAUGCAGCGGCACCUAAUGGUGACAGUUGUUAAAGCGGGGGAUCGCAAGACCUCGCGUCUGAAGAGGAGCCUGCGGCGGAUUAGCUAGUUGGUAAGGUAAUGGCUUACCAAGGCUAUGAUCCGUAGCCGGCCUGAGAGGGCGGUCGGCCACACUGACACUGACAUACGGGUCAGACUCCUACGGGAGGCAGCAGUCGGGAAUUUUGGGCAAUGGGCGAAAGCCUGACCCAGCAACGCCGCGUGAAGGAUGAAAUCCUUCGGGAUGUAAACUUCGCAAGAACGGGAAGAAUAAGUAAGAGUUAAUAUCUCUUACGAUGACGGUACUGUUUGUAAGCUCCGGCUAACUCCGUGCCAGCAGCCGCGGUAAUACGGGGGGAGCAAGCGUUGUUCGGAUUUACUGGGCGUAAAGGGCGCGUAGGCGGCCACCGCAAGUCACUUGUGAAAUCUCCGGGCUUAACCCGGAAAGGUCAACUGAUACUGCGGGGCUAGAGUGCAGAAGGGGCAACUGGAAUUCUCGGUGUAGCGGUGAAAUGCGUAGAUAUCGAGAGGAACACCUGCGGCGAAGGCGGGUUGCUGGGCUGACACUGACGCUGAUGUGCGAAAGCUAGGGGAGCGAACGGGAUUAGAUACCCCGGUAGUCCUAGCCUUAAACGAUGAAUGCUUGGUGUCUGGGGUUUUAUAGUCCCCGGGUGCCGUCGCUAACGCUUUAAGCAUUCCGCCUGGGGAGUACGGUC